ACUCCACAGUCUUUUACCAAAAUAUCUCUUUCGGUAGCAAAGCAUGGGAAACUGGCACGGUUCUGAUUGGACAAAGGUGCUUGUCUUUGAGUCCGGUGCGGUUGGAGAAGAACGACGGUGACGUAGCUGUUUCUUUGCGUUGUGAGUCUGCCGUCUCUUUUACUCAGAAAAAGAAAAAAAGUCUCCCAUCUCCGUUAGCUAUUUCUUUAUGAAGCCUUUUCUUUUCAUUUAUUCUCUUCUUCUUCUUCUUCUUCUUCUUCCAGUUUAAUUAUAUUUUUUGGGGUUCUAUUGGGUGAAAAAAAAAAUAAAAAUGGGUGAUUCAGAUGUGUCUAAUGGUUUUCGUUAGAAUCUUGUUGGUAAAAAUCUGGUUUGGACCAAGGCCCUAUUUUUCUAUAUCUUAAUUAGGCGAUAAACAAUGAUGCCCAUGUUUGGUCUUGCAAAAUUGGAGUUGGUUUGGAUUCCGGUACUGUAAAAUUCAAAAAAUCCUGCUGCUUGUAUCUGGAGCUUUUUUAUUUUUGUGAGAAUUCUAAUGCAAUCCAAAUCCAUCGGAAUAGAAAGCGACCAGAGUAUGAAUCUGGGACUGCAUUCUCCCUUUCCAAGCCACCAAAAGCAGCCUUGUAUUUGUUUGACUAUGCCCUUUGCAUGGAAAAUUUGGUUGCAGGUAAACAGGAAUAAGUCCGGCCAUUAAGGGGAGGAUGCUUGUUUCUCUUACUUAGCAGUAUUUAGCCAAUGCGGAUUUUCACAUUGACUGCUUUUGUAAGUGGUGGAUACAUGGACUCUAAUCGCAAGCGCCAAGGAAAGGGUCCAUUACGUGGUGUUUUUCAUCAAUAUUUUUUUACUUGGCCCCUAGAAUGAGGGAAGCAAGUCUAUCUUGGCUGUCGGCUGACUUUUACUUAUUGGAUGUGUACAUGACACGAUGCCAACUUCCUUAAACUUCAAAGCGUUUUAGGAGAGAGCUUUAGAUACUUUGACUAGUAUACAAACUUCAAAAAUAAUGGCAUGUUUGGGUAGCACAUUUUUUUUUUUUUUUUUUUAUUAUUAUUAUUAUUAUUAUUAUUAUUAUUUUCGAGAAACA